rnacentral:tRNA from 1 species
GUUGUUGUAGCUCAGUGGUAGAGCGCUUGCUUAGCAUGCUUGAGGUUUGGGUUUGAUCCCCAGCACCAUGA